GCCCGGUUAGCUCAAUCGGUAGAGCGUGAGACUCUUAAUCUCAAGGUUGCGGAUGUGUAGCAAAAUUUACUAAUUCCCGCUAGGUUCGACCCCCGCAUCGGGCU